rnacentral:lncRNA from 1 species
GCCGCAGACAGUGCCCGUGCCGGGGCGGGGAGGCGAGUUCUCCCUGCGGCCGCGGACCCUGGAUGGUGGCGUCGCCCGAAGACGCGCCUCACCGGCCUGGGUGGGGUUGCCUUUUGCCCUCGAGGCUGGCCUAAGCGCUGGGGGGCCGCUGGCUAACCCUGAGGUAGAUACUCGGGAAAUGGGUGGAAUAGGGAAAGGGACUCAGCCCUUCCGCCCUUUUCCCCAGUCGAGGCCCGCGUCACUGCCCUGUGGGUGCAGACGCCUCCAGUGUCACUCCCCUGGAUUUCGCUUGGGCAGAAGAAGAGAUUGUAGGCCGGACCCCAACGCCGAAGCCCUGAGGCUUCUAAUGUGAGGAAAAACACGGAAUGACAAGUGUGGGAAAGAGCAAGCACUAAAUUACUGUCAGAAAAAUAAACGGAGUAGCACAGUGCUGCUCGGUGAUUUACGGGGGCAAUUAGUCACCACCCCACGGCGCUGCUGAGGACAGCACGGCAGCAGACAAGUCAGGCCCAUGAGGAAGAAGAGGCUUUGCACUGCUCUCCAGACAACUUUUCAAACAACAAGAGAGGAUAUUUGAGCACAUUAGGUUUUGUGUCUUCAUUCUGGUCAGAGCCUCCCUCUGUCGCCCAGGCUGGAGUGCAGUGGCAUGAUCUCGGCUCACUGCAACCUCCGCCUCCCGGGUUCAAGUGAU